AUGUUGACUCUGGAGUGGGAGUCCGAAGGCCUGCAAACAGUGGGUAUUGUUGUGAUUAUAUGUGCAUCUCUGAAGCUGCUUCAUUUGCUGGGACUGAUUGAUUUUUCGGAAGACAGCGUGGAAGAUGAACUGGAGAUGGCCACCGUCAGGCAUCGGCCCGAGGCCCUUGAGCUUCUGGAAGCCCAGAGCAAAUUUACCAAGAAAGAGCUUCAGAUCCUUUACAGAGGAUUUAAGAACGAAUGCCCCAGUGGUGUUGUUAAUGAAGAAACCUUCAAAGAGAUUUACUCGCAGUUCUUUCCACAGGGAGACUCUACAACAUAUGCACACUUUCUGUUCAAUGCAUUUGAUACGGACCACAAUGGAGCUGUGAGUUUCGAGGAUUUCAUCAAAGGUCUUUCCAUUUUGCUCCGAGGGACAGUACAAGAAAAACUCAAUUGGGCAUUUAAUCUGUAUGACAUAAAUAAAGAUGGCUACAUCACUAAAGAGGAAAUGCUUGAUAUAAUGAAAGCAAUAUACGAUAUGAUGGGUAAAUGUACAUAUCCUGUCCUCAAAGAAGAUGCUCCCAGACAACACGUCGAAACAUUUUUUCAGAAAAUGGACAAAAAUAAAGAUGGGGUUGUUACCAUAGAUGAGUUCAUUGAAAGCUGCCAAAAAGAUGAAAACAUAAUGCGCUCCAUGCAGCUCUUUGAAAAUGUGAUUUAACUUGUCAAAUAGAUCCUGAAUCCAACAGACAAAUGUGAACUAUUCUACCACCCUUAAAGUUGGAGCUACCACUUUUAGCAUAGAUUGCUCAGCUUGACACUGAAGCAUAUUAUGCAAACAAGCUUUGUUUUAAUAUAAAGCAAUCCCCAAAAGAUUUGAGUUUCUCA
rnacentral:sRNA from 1 species